GACGAACGCUGGCGGCGUGCCUAAUACAUGCAAGUAGAACGCUGAAGGAGGAGCUUGCUCUUCUGGAUGAGUUGCGAACGGGUGAGUAACGCGUAGGUAACCUGCCUGGUAGCGGGGGAUAACUAUUGGAACGAUAGCUAAUACCGCAUAACAGUAGAUGUUGCAUGACAUUUGCUUAAAAGGUGCAAUUGCACCACUACCAGAUGGACCUGCGUUGUAUUAGCUAGUUGGUGGGGUAACGGCUCACCAAGGCGACGAUACAUAGCCGACCUGAGAGGGUGAUCGGCCACACUGGGACUGAGACACGGCCCAGACUCCUACGGGAGGCGGCAGUAGGGAAUCUUCGGCAAUGGACGGAAGUCUGACCGAGCAACGCCGCGUGAGUGAAGAAGGUUUUCGGAUCGUAAAGCUCUGUUGUAAGAGAAGAACGAGUGUGAGAGUGGAAAGUUCACACUGUGACGGUAUCUUACCAGAAAGGGACGGCUAACUACGUG
rnacentral:rRNA from 1 species